rnacentral:sRNA from 1 species
AUGGAGGUUUACCGCCUCUGCCUUUGUUUCUACAGGACACCCGCUCUCUGGCUUAAUUUGGAUUGAUUCUGAAGGGUGGAAUGGACUUCUUGUGUUUAGGAAAUCCAUUAGAUCCCGUUUAUACGGGAACUAACCUCAAACAAGUGUCUAGGACUUCUUGUCGUCUAUUCUGCACUUGCACAUUCAUUGGGGCGUUUCCGCGAGGGGAUUCUCUUGCUACGAUGUUCCGAGCGUUGGUUUGCUAUUAGAGAAUAUUUUCUCAAGAUUGCUGUUGGCGUUUGCCUAGGAGAACUCGUGCGAGAAGAUCCAGUUCAUAUCUUGACUUAACUAUACCGUGUGCUUGUUCUAUAUGCAGAAACACUCGCGGUUUUGCUGUUUCAAACCCAUUUCAGAAAUAUACAA